CAAGUCGAGCGAACAGAUAAGGAGCUUGCUCCUUUGACGUUAGCGGCGGACGGGUGAGUAACACGUGGGUAACCUACCUAUAAGACUGGAAUAACUCCGGGAAACCGGGGCUAAUGCCGGAUAACAUUUAGAACCGCAUGGUUCUAAAGUGAAAGAUGGUUUUGCUAUCACUUAUAGAUGGACCCGCGCCGUAUUAGCUAGUUGGUAAGGUAACGGCUUACCAAGGCAACGAUACGUAGCCGACCUGAGAGGGUGAUCGGCCACACUGGAACUGAGACACGGUCCAGACUCCUACGGGAGGCAGCAGUAGGGAAUCUUCCGCAAUGGGCGAAAGCCUGACGGAGCAACGCCGCGUGAGUGAUGAAGGUCUUCGGAUCGUAAAACUCUGUUAUUAGGGAAGAACAAAUGUGUAAGUAACUAUGCACGUCUUGACGGUACCUAAUCAGAAAGCCACGGCUAACUACGUGCCAGCAGCCGCGGUAAUACGUAGGUGGCAAGCGUUAUCCGGAAUUAUUGGGCGUAAAGCGCGCGUAGGCGGUUUCUUAAGUCUGAUGUGAAAGCCCACGGCUCAACCGUGGAGGGUCAUUGGAAACUGGGAAACUUGAGUGCAGAAGAGGAAAGUGGAAUUCCAUGUGUAGCGGUGAAAUGCGCAGAGAUAUGGAGGAACACCAGUGGCGAAGGCGACUUUCUGGUCUGUAACUGACGCUGAUGUGCGAAAGCGUGGGGAUCAAACAGGAUUAGAUACCCUGGUAGUCCACGCCGUAAACGAUGAGUGCUAAGUGUUAGGGGGUUUCCGCCCCUUAGUGCUGCAGCUAACGCAUUAAGCACUCCGCCUG
rnacentral:rRNA from 1 species